AGGGCCUGCCCCUCUCACUUCGACUCGAUUGUAAUUCCAUCCCACGGCCCGUCGAACUUCCCUCCCUUCCGCAGCCAGCCCGUCCCUCCCGUCAGCCUCCUUCGUCGCCCCCGCCCCCGCGAAAAGCCCUGCCGCUUGCAGCCGGCUUCCCUCCCGCACGCCGACCGCCCGGCUGCCGUCCUGCCUCCUGGAACUGCCCCCCGGUUCCGGGCCCAGCCCCCGCUGCCGCCCACCUCCUCGCUGCGGCCGGGGGAUCCGCGGGGACCCGUGUCCCCCACGCCUCCGCCCCCGGAGAAGCCCUUUCCCCGUGCGCCCGGGACUUGGUGAAACUUUGCAGGCGCUGGCGGCGAAAUGGAUUUAACCCGAGGCGUCUUGCUCCGGCUCCUGCUCCUGGCUUCCAGCCUCCGACUUGGCACGUUGUCGCUCCGAGCGGCUCUCCGAAAACCAGGGAAGGUAGGGCCGCCUAUUGACAUCAAGCUGGGCGCAUUGAACUGUACGGCUUUCAGCAUCCAGUGGAAAAUGCCAAGGCAUCCUGGGAGCCCCAUCCUUGGGUACACUGUUUUUUACUCCGAGGUUGGAGCAGAUAAAUACCUGCAGGAGCAGUCACACAGCGUGCCCCUCAGCCGGGACAUCCCGACCACGGAGGAAGUGAUUGGAGAUUUGAAACCGGGCACUGAAUAUCGUGUGAGCAUAGCAGCUUACAGCCAGGCUGGCAAAGGGCGGCUGAGCUCUCCUCGGCAUGUCACCACUUUGUCCAAAGAUUACUGCCUGCCUCCAGCAGCUCCCCAGCAGCCACACGUCAUUGUGGUUUCCGAUUCUGAGGUGGCCCUGUCCUGGAAACCUGGAGCAAGUGAAGGAGGCACCCCUAUUCAGUACUACUCUGUGGAAUUCAUCAGGCCAGAUUUCGACAAGAGGUGGACCUUAAUCCAUGAACGGAUCCAGAUGGACUCCAUGGUUAUCAAGGGCCUCGAUCCAGAUACCAACUACCAGUUUGCCGUGAGGGCAAUGAAUUCCCAUGGCCCCAGCCCCCGCAGCUGGCCCAGCGACAUCAUCCGGACCCUCUGCCCUGAGGAGGCGGGAAGUGGCCGCUAUGGACCCCAUUAUAUCACCGACAUGGGAGCUGGUGAGGAUGAUGAAGGAUUUGAAGACGACUUAGAUUUGGAUAUUUCCUUUGAGGAGGUUAAACCACUUCCUGCUACCAAAGGAGGGAAGAAGAAAUUUUUGGUGGAAAGCAAGAGGAUAUCUAUAUCUAACCCAAAGACCAUUUCCAGGCUUGUCCCUCCUACCUCAGCAUCUCUCCCCGUGACCACAGUGGCUCCCCAGCCCAUCCCUGGAGAGAGGAAGGGGAAGAAUAGUGUGGCCAUGAUGUCAAGGCUCUUUGACGUGCCUUGUGAUGAAACUCUCUGCCCUGCCGACAGCUUCUGUGUCAAUGACUACACCUGGGGGGGCUCGCGAUGCCAUUGCAACCUGGGCAAAGGUGGUGAGAGCUGCUCAGAAGAUAUUGUUAUCCAGUAUCCUCAGUUCUUUGGCCACUCCUAUGUAACGUUUGAACCUCUGAAGAACUCCUAUCAGGCAUUUCAAAUUACUCUUGAAUUUAGGGCAGAGGCAGAGGAUGGCUUACUGCUCUACUGUGGGGAGAAUGAACACGGGAGAGGGGAUUUCAUGUCCCUGGCUAUCAUCCGACGCUCCCUCCAGUUCAGGUUUAAUUGUGGAACUGGGGUUGCCAUCAUUGUAAGUGAGACCAAAAUCAAACUGGGGGGCUGGCACACGGUUAUGCUCUACAGAGAUGGACAGAACGGGCUGCUGCAGCUAAACAACGGCACCCCGGUGACGGGUCAGUCCCAGGGCCAGUACAGUAAAAUUACCUUCCGGACACCUCUCUACCUUGGUGGGGCUCCCAGUGCUUACUGGUUGGUCAGAGCAACAGGAACAAAUCGAGGCUUUCAAGGCUGUGUGCAGUUGCUCGCUGUUAAUGGGCGGAGAAUCGACAUGAGGCCCUGGCCCCUGGGAAAAGCACUCAGUGGGGCUGAUGUGGGGGAAUGCAGCAGUGGAAUCUGUGAUGAGGCCUCGUGCAUCAAUGGUGGCACCUGCACAGCAAUCAAAGCCGACUCCUACAUUUGCCUCUGUCCCCUUGGGUUUAAAGGUCGACACUGUGAAGAUGCUUUCACCUUGACCAUUCCGCAAUUCAGAGAGUCUCUGAGAUCCUACGCUGCAACGCCCUGGCCACUGGAGCCCCAGCAUUACCUUUCCUUUAUGGAGUUUGAGAUCACAUUUCGGCCAGAUUCAGGAAACGGUGUCCUCCUGUACAGCUAUGACACAGACAGCAAAGACUUCCUGUCCAUCAACAUGGCAGAGGGCCACGUGGAGUUCCGCUUUGACUGUGGCUCUGGGACCGGUAUUCUUAGGAGUGAAGAUCCCCUCACCCUAGGCAACUGGCACGAGCUUCGUGUAUCUCGCACAGCAAAAAAUGGAAUCUUACAGGUGGAUAAACAGAAGGUAGUGGAGGGGAUGGCAGAGGGAGGCUUCACACAGAUUAAGUGCAACACAGACAUUUUUAUUGGCGGAGUCCCCAGUUACGAUGAUGUGAAGAAAGACUCGGGUGUCCUGAGGCCUUUCAGCGGGAGCGUCCAGAAGAUCAUCCUGAACGACCGAACCAUCCACGUCAAGCAUGACUUCACGUCCGGAGUGAAUGUAGAGAAUGCGGCCCACCCCUGCGUGAGGGCCCCUUGUGCCCACGGGGGCAGCUGCCGGCCCAGGAAGGAGGGCUAUGACUGUGACUGCCCCUUGGGCUUUGAGGGGCUUCACUGCCAGAAAGCAAUCAUAGAAGCCAUUGAGAUCCCGCAGUUUAUCGGCCGCAGUUACCUGACGUAUGACAACCCUGAUAUCUUGAAGAGGGUGUCAGGAUCAAGAUCAAAUGUGUUCAUGAGGUUUAAGACAACUGCCAAAGAUGGCCUUUUGCUGUGGAGGGGAGACAGCCCCAUGAGACCCAAUAGCGACUUCAUUUCCUUGGGCCUUCGGGAUGGAGCCCUCGUGUUCAGCUAUAACCUGGGCAGUGGCGUGGCAUCCAUCAUGGUGAAUGGCUCCUUCAACGACGGUCGGUGGCACCGAGUUAAGGCCUGUUAGAGAUGGCCAGUCAGGAAAGAUAACUGUGGAUGACUAUGGAGCCAGGACAGGCAAAUCUCCAGGCACGAUGCGGCAGCUUAACAUCAAUGGAGUUCUGUAUGUGGGUGGAAUGAAGGAAAUUGCUCUGCACACUAACAGGCAGUAUAUGAGAGGGCUCGUGGGCUGCAUCUCUCACUUCACCCUGUCCACCGAUUACCACAUUUCCCUCGUGGAAGAUGCCGUGGAUGGGAAAAACAUCAACACUUGUGGAGCCAAGUAACACCAGCUGGCCUUGCCCAAGGGACAGAGCCUUCUAUUCUGAGAAUCCCAGGGGCCCUGAGACCCUGCCUGAUGCUAUAUGCAGAGGCCCAGGGGCCAGGUGUGUUUCCUCUCAUCAAGGAGAAAGUACACACUGAUGAGAAACUGAGAACCAAGACAGGCAUCUCUGGGUGGCCUUUCCCGCUGACACUCCGCUAGCUGACCCAGCAGAAUCCUCUGUGUAGGAAGCAUCGGACUUUGUCCAUUGACUAUGUCGCGGCUGCCAGAGAUCACACAUCAAUGCAAAUUCCAGAGCCUGUCUGCUGUAGCUCAAUGACUGUGUUGUGAUUCAUAGUAUAUUAAAGAGAGAGAGAGAGAGAAAGAAACCCGCAGGGCAGUAUUAAAAUACUUCUCUCCUUCCCUGACUCAUGACACUCUUCCUGACAGCAGAAUGACUGUGUGACCUUGAACUUCACAUUUCCCACCUUGGCCUGUGGAUUGUUUGGAUUAACCCCUUCCACUCCUCACUGACUGACUCACUGUGUUCUGACCAAUCCAUGAAAAUAAAGAUGGAAGGAGACCAAACACAGAAUCGUAAUCAUAAUGCGGUCCCCCUCCCCAGAGCUUACCUCGAAUGUGAAAUCCCUACUUUUUAUAAUGCAAAGUUAAGAAGCUGAGCUCCAUGAUUUUGUAGCUGUACUUUUUGUAUGUGUAUAUUUUUAUAGCUGCAGACUGUCCACACGUAUACUUUUGAAAGUUUGGGUGGAUAACCUUGAAUCCUUGCACACCCUUCCUAAAAAUUUUCUCCCAGAACAUACUUGUUUGGGCCGUUUUUGGUGUCAGUGGAAUGGAUAUGUAACUUGGGUGGGCGACUUGGGGAGCUCUCCAUUCUCUUUUGGUAAAUGUUGACGGCUCAAGGGGAUGAAUACGAAGCUUUCCAAGAUAAGCAGAUUAAAAGGAACAUGUAUCACCGAGGUAGGUCACUGUCAUUUUUGUUUUAAGCGGGGAGAUAUCUGUAGUAAACUUGAAUAAAGGGACAAAG